GGUAAUGCGCACGCGUGUGCGUGUGGGCCAGCACGUCCGGGUGGUCAGGACGCGCGCUUGUGCGCAUGUCCCCGCGCAGGGUCGGGCGCUGGGGUGUGGAGACUGAACCUUGCAGACACCCGGGUCCGCACGUCUGGGAUGGACGUGGUGAGUGCACGUGCGCACGCGCUGCGUAGGGGCGGCUGCGCUCAUGCGCACAUCGGGAGUGGUGCUUGGAGAGGCCACCUACUCACCGCGCCCCCAAGAGGCCGGGGGUUUGUCCCUGGUGUUGGCCCUACCCUGCGCGAUCCAGUCUUGUCGUUUCGGGGCUUCAUUACCAGAGCCCCGUGAAUCCUUUGCUAGAUGCUUAAAAACAUUUUCCCCAUUGUACAUAGCUGUUUCCACGAGAAUAAAAAGCUUUACAUUUAUUUGAGGCCUGCUUGGGCCUAUCCGCAGCUCCACAGACAGUCUCGCUAUAUUACCCAGGCUGGAGUGCAGUGUCAAGAUCUCGACUCACUGCAGCCUUGAACUCCUGGGCUCAAGUGAUCCUCCCACAGUGCUGGGAUUACAGGCGUGAGCCACCGCACCCGGCCUCUAGUUCUGUCUUUUUGCUCAGUAUUAGAAUUCGUAAGUUCUGGCCCCAGCAACUCGUCCUUUCAUCUGUCUCAAGUUGCACUGUGGUGGUCACAGGAGCUGUCCUGCACCUUGCACAUGUGGCCAUGAACAAGACUCGCUCCUUGCUCUCAUGGGGCCUUCAUUCCAGUGAGACACAAAUGCAAACACAAAAUUCCAGAAGAGUGCUGAGUGCUAUCAUGAGAAACGAAGACAGGCUGGAAGAUGGGCUCUGACCCCAGAAAACCGAUGGAGAGGCCCAAGCAGCCUUGGGAGCAACAGGCAAGUUGGAGGACACACGGCAAGGCUACUUGGAAGUAGGGGAGGGUGCAUGGGAAACCCUGAGGCUGUGGGGGGAGAGGCAGGAGCCAGGUGAAGUCCAGGUAGAUGGCAGUGGAGAUGUAAGAACAUGGUGGAAUUUUUUUGUUUUUGAGACGGAGUCUUGCUCUGUCCCCCAGGGUGGAGUGCAAUGGUGAGAUCUCAACUCACUGCAACUUCCGCCUCCCAGGUUCAAGCGAUUCUCUGGGAUUAUAGGCACCUGCCACCAUGCCCAGCUAAUUUUUGUAUUUUUUAGUAGAGAUGGGUUUUCACCAUGUUGGUCAGGCUAGUCUCGAACUCCUGACCGCGGGUGAUCCGCCCGCCUCAGCUUCCCAAAGUGCUGGGAUUACAGGCGUGAGCCACCGCGCCUGGCCAGAACAUGGUGGAAUUUGAGUGUGCUUGGGAAUACACUUAUAGGACUUGCUGAUUAGUUGAAUGAGGAAAUAAAAGAACGAAGAAUAUCUUCUGGGAUUUCAGCCUGAGCAACUGGGUUGCUGGUGGAUGGUGGUUCUCUUAUCAAGGAUGGGAAAGAUGGGUUGUCUCCCCUAAAAUACUGAGUUUUAAAGGCAGGGACUGUAUCUUUGCAGUCCUGGCUCCUAGCAAGGGCCUAGCCCUUAUAUGACAUUCGUGAAUGUUGAAAUGAAUGUGACACGCCUGAAACAAUCCUUCUCCCUCACCUAGGCCCACAUCUCCAAGUCAAUAUUCCAGUACAAGCCACAUCCAGUCCCCUCACUGACACACACAGGCCUGGGCCCAGGAGCUCACCCCUGUGCUGUAAGGCUAGGUGCAUGUGUUAUUUCCAGAGUCUACCCUUGGAGGUGCCUCAGACUCCUGGGUACCUGUCGCUGGGAGGUAGCCAGUCAUGCUGUCCACAUACAUGCUUUUGGGCAGUAGAGAAGCUGAUCAUUGGGAAGGUUUAUUUCCUGUCUCCACAACAGGAGGCAGGUCACAGCAGUGGCCACACAGUGCACAAAAGGCCAUCCCCUCACAGCCGCAUGGUUGGCAUGCAGC
rnacentral:lncRNA from 1 species